rnacentral:rRNA from 1 species
CCGCGUGAGUGAAGAAGGCCUUCGGGUUGUAAAGCUCUUUUGUCAGGGAAGAAACGGUGAAAGCUAAUAUCUUUUGCUAAUGACGGUACCUGAAGAAUAAGCACCGGCUAACUACGUGCCAGCAGCCGCGGUAAUACGUAGGGUGCAAGCGUUAAUCGGAAUUACUGGGCGUAAAGCGUGCGCAGGCGGUUUGUAAGUCUGAUGUGAAAUCCCCGGGCUCAACCUGGGAAUUGCAUUGGAGACUGCAAGGCUAGAAUCUGGCAGAGGGGGGUAGAAUUCCACGUGUAGCAGUGAAAUGCGUAGAUAUGUGGAGGAACACCGAUGGCGAAGGCAGCCCCCUGGGUCAAGAUUGACGCUCAUGCACGAAAGCGUGGGGAGCAAACAGGAUUAGAUACCCUGGUAGUCCACGCCCUAAACGAUGUCUACUAGUUGUCGGGUCUUAAUUGACUUGGUAACGCAGCUAACGCGUGAAGUAGACCGCCUGGGGAGUACGGUCGCAAGAUUA